UAGGGAAUAUUGGUUAAUGUGCGAAAGCGCGAACCAGCAACGCCGCGUGUGCGAUGAAGGCCUUCGGGUCGUAAAGCACUUUUUGCAGGGACGAGGAAGGACGGUACCUGCAGAAUAAGUCUCGGCUAACUACGUGCCAGCAGCCGCGGUAAAACGUAGGAGACGAGCGUUAUCCGGAUUUACUGGGCGUAAAGCGCGUGCAGGCGGCAUGGCAAGUUGGAUGUGAAAGCUCCCGGCUUAACUGGGAGAGGUCGUUCAAUACUGCCAGGCGUGAGAGUGGUAGAGGGAAGUGGAAUUCCGGGUGUAGUGGUGAAAUGCGUAGAUAUCCGGAGGAACACAAGUGGCGAAAGCGGCUUACUGGCCCAUUUCUGACGCUCAGACGCGAAAGCUAGGGUAGCAAACG
rnacentral:rRNA from 1 species